CAUGAAAAUGAGGAGUUAGCUUUUAGUUUCGUCCUGCUGUAUGAACCACAGUUCUCUUCUCUUAUUUUAGAGGGUUCAUACAUAAAUAAAAGGAGGCCAGCAUGUUUUCAAGUGUCGGUACCGCAGCAGGAGUUUGUGUCUUUGCCAACAGGAACAGAACAGAAGUCUGUUUGUUCUCAUAGCAGCUCUCUGAUGAGAAAGGUUUUAUAGUUUGAGGGGAGAUUGGGAGCAGCGACAAACAGAGAAGAGAGCAAAGACAGAAGAAGCUGACAGAUUCAUGGACUGCAUCAGAGUUUAGAAUUAAAGAUCGCUGCCUCUCCCUGAGCCUGGUUCUGCCAGAGGUUUCUUCCUUCGAAAAGAGCUGGAGGGUAUUGACUGGAUGGAUGUCUCACCCACAGGAAACCUCAUCUGUGUAAAAACCUACUUGGUUUCAAGGAGGAUACGUUUGCCAGAGAUAAAGGCAUUUCAUCACAUUGCACCGGAGACUAGGUUCAAGAAACUGCCUUUUAUCAGCAGACAGCAACUGAGCUGAACAUUUCACAGUCUUCAUAUAUUAACCUUAUUUUUCCCUCCAGUCUUUGAGUCUGGAGUGUAUUUCUGGUAUCUGAUUGUUUGUAUUUAAACCAGGAUGAAGAACAGUCAGGCUCUAUGCAAACUGAAUAAACUAUGACACUGUCUUUGAACUUACACCAAACAGGGAGGAAAUCUUUUGGUGCUAUUAUCUAAAAAUGUGAAGUCAUGUUGAGUGUUAAAAUGGAUUCGGAUGAGUAGUCUGUUCUCUGUGUCCCUUCUGCAGACUCUCCUUUAAUGUGCACCACAGAGGGCAGGAUUUUUUAAUAUGUGUACAGCUUUGAAGAAGGAGACCAAUGGUAAGAUGCUAUGAUAAAACUGAAAAAUCAUAUAUUCCUUAUUAUGCGCAGCUAUAGCUCAGCACAAUGCUGCUCUUUUCCUUUGACGUAUCCUCAUUGCUCUGCUUGGCGCUCAUAGCCACUUCAAUGAUGUUUUCAACUGGCAGAUCAUAUCCAUAGCCCACGCCUUUCUCCCCUCACUUUCAGUCUCACCCGCAUCCUCCUCUCUUUCGAUGUCAGUCAUUAUGAUCCAUUUCAGGAGUCGGUAAACAUCCAGCACUGUGUUCAACAGGCACAAACUUAAACUGUUUCAUUCUGGAGGAGGCAGAGAGAUCACCGUGCCAACAAAACACCGGUAAACAUUGGUGCCAUGGCAACCUCCAGAGCGCAGGACGCAAAUCUCCAUGGCAACCUUUGUGUGUGUGCAAGGGGGAGAUGGAGCCAAUGAUUGAAAGACGUCGAGACAAAUGAUUAUAUUGUCAGCAAACAGAAAAUAUAUUUAUCAAUGUGCUAAUGGUACAACUCUGACUGCAACAUCCAGGAGAUGAAUAAUGUGAGAACUGCAGGGCAACGAAGGGUAAACAACAACUGCAACACAAUUCCCUGAUGCCAAACAUCUCUCACAGAUCUAAUCAUCGCAUCACUUUUCAUCCACUGCAAGGUUUACGAGGUAAUAAAGGACUACAGCCAAAGCACAGAACUCAAUUUCAUAAGGACUUUAUACGUCAUAGGAAAAUGACUGAAGAAAUUAAACUUUACUUUUUACCCAUCAGCCAAGAAAGGCUGAUAGGCUUUUGUCAUCACCCUGCCAGGUGGGUGGCGUGGAUACCCAACUUUGUGGACAUGAUACUUGAGACAAAGGUGAUGUUGGAUUUUCAAAUUAUAGGUGCAUCUACAAAAAGUCUCAGACGAUUUAAAUCAUGGUUAAGGUCAGAGGUCUAGUAUCUUGUGACUCUUGUGAAAUCAAGAAGAAAGUCACCUAGGAUUUUCAAAUUUAUACCAUUAGUGCAUCUAUUCAAUUCAGUUUUAUUCAUUGUUAGGUUUUUCUCUGUAUGGAUUAUUGUAGGGUCUACCUUACAAUAAUACAUACA